CUAUUAUCCCUGUUGCGGGGAGUGCAGUUUUUGUCAUUUAUCUUGAGAAAUUGUAUUAAAGUCUUAAAGCCGAACAGCAAACAGCGAGGCCGGCGAAUAGAGGGGCGGAUGUGGUCCGGGUUCCGAGAAAUGAGCGAGAUUGAGUAAGGCGGAAACGACGCAUUUAAUGCGUGCCAGACCGUAGGGCAGGGUAGUAUACGUAUGUCGAGGAAUACGCGGGCGGCUUUUGUAUACGAGGGGCAUUUUGAUCCGGCGGACAAAAAAGCGGACCGAAUCUGCAAAAACGAAGAAGGUGGGCCAGGUUUUGCAAAAGCCAAAAAUAAGUAGAUUUUUUAUGCAAAUUGGCCUUCUUUUUUCUAGACCGA
rnacentral:lncRNA from 1 species